rnacentral:RNase_P_RNA from 1 species
AGAGUGGGUCGGGCGAUCGCCGCGGCCGACGUCACGGCCGGGGAGGAAAGUCCGGACUCCAAGGGCAGUGUGCUGGCUAACGGCCAGCGGGGGCGACCCCAGGGAAAGUGCCACAGAAAACAUACCGCCGAACUCCCGCGAGGGGGUGGCAAGGGUGAAAAGGUGCGGUAAGAGCGCACCGCCGGCGUGGUGACACGACGGGCAGGGCAAACCCCACACGGAGCAAGGCCAAAUAGGGGGGCGUUCGAGGCUGGCCCGGCUGAAGCCCCCGGGUAGGUCGCUCGAUCCCGCGGGAGACCGCGGGGCUAGAGGAAUGAUCGCCGCCCGCCGCGAGGCGGGGACAGGAUCCGGCUUACAGACCCGCUCUCUGG